AGCGAACGCUGGCGGCAGGCUUAACACAUGCCAGUCGAGCGGGCACUUCGGUGUCAGCGGCAGACGGGUGAGUAACACGUGGGAACGUACCCUUUGGUUCGGAAUAACGCUGGGAAACUAGCGCUAAUACCGGAUACGCCCUUUUGGGGAAAGGCUUGCUGACGAAGGAUCGGCCCGCGUCUGAUUAGCUAGGUGGUGGUGUAAUGGCCUACCACGGCGACGAUCAGUAGCUGGUCUGAGAGGAUGAUCCGCCACACUGGGACUGAGACACGGCCCAGACUACUACGGGAGGCAGCAGUGGGGAAUAUUGGAAAAUGGGCGCAAGCCUGAUCCAGCCAUGCCGCGUGAGUGAUGAAGGCCUUAGGGUUGUAAAGCUCUUUUGUCCGGGACGAUAAUGACGGUACCGGAAGAAUAAGCCCCGGCUAACUUCGUG
rnacentral:rRNA from 1 species